rnacentral:rRNA from 1 species
UACGUAGGGACCGAGCGUUGUCCGGAUUUAUUGGGCGUAAAGAGCUCGUAGGCGGCUUGUCGCGUCGACUGUGAAAUCCCGCGGCUCAACUGCGGGUCUGCAGUCGAUACGGGCAGGCUAGAGUUCGGUAGGGGAGACUGGAAUUCCUGGUGUAGCGGUGAAAUGCGCAGAUAUCAGGAGGAACACCGGUGGCGAAGGCGGGUCUCUGGGCCGACACUGACGCUGAGGCGCGAAAGCCAGGGGAGCGAACGGG